CACCGCCUGAUGUUGUCUGUUGGCGCGCUCUGGGGAUUGGAACCAAUACAAGAACCUUUCAAUGAGAAACAAAAAGUUCACCACAGAAGAGAGAAAAAGGACAUUCCAGGUUGAUGUGAAAAUGAAAUGCUGUAAUGGCAUUUGUUCAUUAACCUAAUGAGGGAAGCCAUUCUCUACAGGAGCAUGAAGAGGGGACUCUAGGAGAGAAUCCCCCAGGUGCCACCAGCAGUUCCCUGCCAUGUGGUCCUUUCCACUUCCUGUAAAACAAUCCUGAGUUCCAGGAAGAAACACACUCAGCUAACACAUUGCUCGUUUGCUUCCUCAAGGCCAGAAGGAGUAUUUCUUUCUCCAGUCUGCUAAUACAGAGUCUCAUAUAAGAAAAACAAAGCAAGAAAACAGCAACAAUAACAAUAGCAGUGUGGUUCACCGAGUAUGUGCCCAAGGCAUGAAAGAGAGGAGCACAAUUUCCUUGACAGAGCUGAGAUUGUGUUCUGCUUACUUCUGUGGGAAUCGGGCAAGAGCUGAAGGACCUGCAGUCAUCUCCCCAAGAGUGGCCUUUGUGAUUCAUUAAUAGAUGAAAACUCUUUAAGUGAGUAUGUCUGACUAGGGCACUGAUUGUCCCAGAGGGUUAGCUUGAAUAAAUGUUCAGCUCUAAUAUCCCAUCAUUUAUGUAAACUGCCUGAAGUGCACAACAAAUAUAACAAGAUUAUUAGCACAUGUGACCUACAUUAUUUAGGAAUUAAUUCAUCACAAGUUACAGAAACAGGACUCAAGAUGCUUUUCAGCAAAAAAUAAAAUAAUGUAUUAAGAUUAUGUUAGUGUGGCUUGUAGAAAACAAGGAUGAUAAUGAGUCUGGAGCUUAGAUAAAAACUACCUAAGAAAGAAAAUGUCAUCAGAAUCAACUCAGUCUUUUGUGUGGUUCUUUUGUAUGUAUGUUUUUCCCCUGCUCCUCUCUACUCCUCUCUUCCUUCUCCUCCUCUUCUUCCUCCUUAUUCUUCUUUAAUUGCACAAGACUUCUUUUUCUUAAGUGGUCAAUGUGGUUGGAUACUUUUUAAAAGAAAGUUUAAAAAACUUUUUUGAAUGUCCUGAACAUGAGGAAUCAAUUUCAAAUUCAGUGUUGAGGGGCAAUGUUCUAAAUUAGAUAUUCUCUAGGAGAAGACCAUGCUGAAUGAAAGAGAGUAAGUUGGUGGUCAUAUUCAGGUUGAAUAUUUGCCCAGGGUUCCACCCAUGACAGCCACAUGAAAGAGGGUCAUAAAGUAAAAUGUGUACACCCCCUGCAGUGAGUUCAGCAAAGAAGGUUUAGGUCAUGGACCGGUGUGGUCCCCACUCUAUUACUUCAUUGUGCACAUUUUCUACUCCGCCGUUUAGACUACAUGUGUUACGUUAUUUACUGUCACAUUAUCAAUAUCUAUAAGUGCCCAACACAUAUGAAGUAGUAAAAAUAUAUUUAUUGAAUAAGUAGUAAAAACAAAUAUUUCUGAGAACAUAUAAUUAUUUUCAAAUAUCAGAAACUUACGAAAUUUGUUUCCAACUGACCACUUUUAAGUAUUUGCUCUAAAGUGAAGAAAUAAAAUUCCUUCUGUAGUAGAUAUAAUUGGUUGUUUACCUGAUAUUUAGUUAUUACUUCUUAUUCUGUGUAAAAUAAUCCCAAUUUUGUUCAUCUGGCUCCUUGUGUCCUACAAAGACUUUGUAAAUCACAGGAAGCUAACUUUAUCCUUCUGUCCAGAGGUGGCUCCUGACCAAUCUAAACAAUCAUACUUGUCUGUAAUUGAUACAGAAACAGGCUAAGUUGAAUCAGGACAUAGAAGAGAAUACUCUCAAGAUACACAUCAGUCGUUAAAGGUAGGUACAAGUCCUAUACUGACUUGAUCUAUAUAAAGAAAUAACUUUAAUCUCUUGGCUAUGAGAGUAGUUUCAUUUUUUUCCACCCUAGAUAUGAAAAGAAAAAAAAGAAAAGGUCACUUGCCCUAGGUUCUGCUAAUAGCCAUCUUGCAAACAUGAAAACAGUAAGACUGAAGGAAGACUGGCAUGAUAAAUAAGGUGAAAAUCUGAGAAACAGAGCUAGGACUCAGUUUCACCACACCUGGCACUGGCCCUUCCUUUGAAUAUCCUGCUAUAUGGGAUAAUGUUGUCAUUUUUCUCAGAGCCAAUUUGAAAAAGGCUAUUUGUUACUCAUAGCUGAAGGAAAACAAAUGAAUACAUUAUCCCUAAAUGUAUCUUUGCCUUUAACUGUGAGCUAUUUUAAAAAAUAAAAUGGCCGCUUAUAACACCUAAGUGUAUUAAAAUAU
rnacentral:lncRNA from 1 species